CCCUGACAGCCGCAUGGUGCGGCUGACACUAGCCUCGACAGGAGAUCAUAAUG
ncrna:unclassified sequences Mu-gpT-DE RNA